GACGAACGCUGGCGGCGUGCCUAAUACAUGCAAGUAGAACGCUGAAGAGAGGAGCUUGCUCUUCUUGGAUGAGUUGCGAACGGGUGAGUAACGCGUAGGUAACCUGCCUUGUAGCGGGGGAUAACUAUUGGAAACGAUAGCUAAUACCGCAUAACAAUGGAUGACACAUGUCAUUUAUUUGAAAGGGGCAAUUGCUCCACUACAAGAUGGACCUGCGUUGUAUUAGCUAGUAGGUGAGGUAACGGCUCACCUAGGCGACGAUACAUAGCCGACCUGAGAGGGUGAUCGGUCACACUGGGACUGAGACACGGCCCAGACUCCUACGGGAGGCAGCAGUAGGGAAUCUUCGGCAAUGGGGGCAACCCUGACCGAGCAACGCCGCGUGAGUGAAGAAGGUUUUCGGAUCGUAAAGCUCUGUUGUAAGUCAAGAACGAGUGUGAGAGUGGAAAGUUCACACUGUGACGGUAGCUUACCAGAAAGGGACGGCUAACUACGUGCCAGCAGCCGCGGUAAUACGUAGGUCCCGAGCGUUGUCCGGAUUUAUUGGGCGUAAAGCGAGCGCAGGCGGUUUGAUAAGUCUGAAGUUAAAGGCUGUGGCUCAACCAUAGUUCGCUUUGGAAACUGUCAAACUUGAGUGCAGGAGGGGAGAGUGGAAUUCCAUGUGUAGCGGUGAAAUGCGUAGAUAUAUGGAGGAACACCGGUGGCGAAAGCGGCUCUCUGGUCUGUAACUGACGCUGAGGCUCGAAAGCGUGGGGAGCGAACAGG
rnacentral:rRNA from 1 species